UACAGAGGGGGCAAGCGUUGUUCGGAAUUACUGGGCGUAAAGGGCGCGUAGGCGGCCCGCUAAGUCGAACGUGAAAUCCCCAGGCUCAACCUGGGAACUGCGUCCGAUACUGGCAGGCUUGAAUCCGGGAGAGGGAUGUGGAAUUCCAGGUGUAGCGGUGAAAUGCGUAGAUAUCUGGAGGAACACCGGUGGCGAAGGCGGCAUCCUGGACCGGUAUUGACGCUGAGGCGCGAAAGCUAGGGGAGCAACGGG
rnacentral:rRNA from 1 species